CAGGAUGGUUUUAUCUAUGUGGGACCUACUCCCUGGAUCUCUGCUGCAAGGCACCCAGCGGUGAAUCACCUGGAGAAGGCAAUCAUAACAAUAUGAAAGUAAGGAAAGCUUGGAAAUACACUAAAUAACUAGAGAAAUGCUGUUUGGCACACAAAAUCCAAUCUGAGGAUAACAUAUUUUGAGGGAAGAGGCCUAUAAAGGAAGAGUGUAGAUGAUGGCAUCCUGUGACAAGCAAGGCCAGUUAACAAAUUCCUUGGAAGCAAUUGCUAAGUGACACUGGCCAACUGCCAAGGAGUACUCAGAAUGAUAUGCAUUAUCACUAGGAUAUUCCUUAUCUGCAAUGGCUAACACAAUUUCAACAAAACUACCAAGAUUUCCCCUGGCAACUUAAAUCAAUGGUGAACUGGCAUACGCUCAAAGACUUUGUAUGUGGCAGUAACCAAGAAGUGAACAAUGAAAAGGAAACGGACAAUAUUUUUACAGUGACUUCUACAGAAAAUGUUCUUAGUUUGCAAAUCAAAAGAUACAAACUGCCAGCACUGCAAAGGAAGCUGUUCUGCCUUUCAUGUUACAACCAGUAAAUAAAGAUACCGCAAGCAAAACUAAACUUAUAAAUUUUGUUGUUAAUGUAUGAAGUAGAACAGAAUCUAGCUGACUCUCUCACCGCUGUGUGCUAAAAUAAAACAUGUCUGUAAUGUGAGUAGAUAUUGCUCAGUAUUCCAGUAGGCCACCUGUUCAGCAAAAUAAAGAUGAACCUUUCUAGUCAUAACUGCACUUCUGUUCUGCACUGAGAAACUCCAGGACAUAUGU